rnacentral:lncRNA from 1 species
ACACAAUUGUACGUUAGUACACUGAGAACAAUAAAAUACAGGAUCUGCCAGCUGAAAUGGAAGUUAACAGUUUAGCCUCUGGCAAUAUUAUUUUUGAGAAUGCUUUCACUUUCUUAAGUUUAGGUAAAGCUAGUGGUUGAUUUGAACUAAAUAGAAUUCACUCAGUACUUUAGAACGCGUGCUACAGUGAAGAAUGGCUUCAGAUCGGGUCUUUAUUACUAUCAUCUAAAUGGACAACCACAUACUGCAUGAUUGUAAGACAUCAUAUUUAUUUCUGCUCAGUUGUUGAAGGAUACAAUUUUUAAAAACAAAAUAAGGAAACAAACUUUGAGAAUCAGAAUUGGAGAAUCAUAUUAUCCACGUCAACUCAGCAGUGAAAUGAUUAGUAAUUGAUUGCGUGUUCUGCACAUUGUCCCUGCAAAAUCUUUGGAGUCCAAGCCGAAAGCCUAUUUGCUUGGUGUUUUCUUGAGAACACGACUGAGUCACACACAUCUCAGUUCACUUCCUUGUGAAAUAUCGUAAAUGGGACUAAGUGGAGAAGUGGGGAAAACUGGACCACACAGUGAAGGAAAGCUUUGUGGAGUGAUAACCGCCUUAUUCAAGAAAUUGACUGUGGAGGAAAUAGAAUUGCCUUUCAAGAUUCCUUGCAGCUGUGAUCCAAGGCAGAAAAAAAGAUAUCCCACAGCAGGAAUUCACCCAGCAACCACUGCACCUCAGCAAUGUAGGCGUACAGGAAAGGGACCUGUGCCGUGUUCAUCUCCCUCUUUAAAAUCAGCACAAAAGACAACGAUAUCAAGGGUAAAUGGUCCUAUGAAAAGAUUGUAGAAUUUUCCUCUAGAGGUUUUACUCAUAGAAGUAUUAAAGAUUUAUACUAUAUUCCUCCAGAGCUUACUAUAUGACUAGAAAUAAACAUUUCUGCAAGUCCGAGCUUGGGUAGAAUCACCACGUGGACAGUUAUCACUUAUGUAUAGAGCAUGGAUGAGGUGGGCAAUAGGAGUUGAUGGAAAAGAGCCACAGAAACAAAUAAGUCAAUUUCCACAAUGAUCUAUUCAAGAUCAUUUGAAAUAUAAGUAGCCAUGGAAAAUGCAUUUAUGAUCAUCAACAAUUAUUCACUACAACGUGCACUUGAAAACUAUGCUUAAAUUAACCCAAUAUAUGUGAAUUGGAAACAAGAAUUUCUACUCCCAGAUCUUUUCUUUUAAAAAAAGCUAUUUAGCCGUGGGUAAUAAGUGCAAGGCCUGAUAGUAUCUUAUUCUCUUUUUUUUUUUUU